rnacentral:rRNA from 1 species
AACGCGAAGAACCUUACCAAGGUUUGACAUGGGCCGAAAACCUCCAGAGACGGGGGGUCCUUCGGGCGGUUCACAGGUGGUGCAUGGCUGUCGUCAGCUCGUGUCGUGAGAUGUUGGGUUAAGUCCCGCAACGAGCGCAACCCUCGUCCAAUGUUGCCAGCGGGUAGUGCCGGGGACUCAUUGGAGACUGCCGGGGUCAACUCGGAGGAAGGUGGGGAUGACGUCAAGUCAUCAUGCCCCUUAUGUCUUGGGCUGCAAACAUGCUACAAUGGCCGGUACAGAGCGCUGCGAGCCCGUGAGGGUGAGCGAAUCGCGGAAAGCCGGCCUCAGUUCGGAUCGGGGUCUGCAACUCGGCCCCGUGAAGCCGGAGUCGCUAGUAAUCGCGGAUCAGCAACGCCGCGGUGAAUACGUUCCCGGGCCUUGUACACACCGCGCAUA